UUAAGUUAAGCUUAGUUGCCAUCAUUAAGUUGGGCACUCUAAGUUGACUGCCGGUGACAAACCGGAGGAAGGUGGGGAUGACGUCAAAUCAUCAUGCCCCUUAUGAUUUGGGCUACACACGUGCUACAAUGGACAAUACAAAGGGCAGCGAAACCGCGAGGUCAAGCAAAUCCCAUAAAGUUGUUCUCAGUUCGGAUUGUAGUCUGCAACUCGACUAUAUGAAGCUGGAAUCGCUAGUAAUCGUAGAUCAGCAUGCUACGGUGAAUA
rnacentral:rRNA from 1 species